rnacentral:rRNA from 1 species
CCUACGGGAGGCAGCAGUGGGGGAUAUUGCACAAUGGGGGGAACCCUGAUGCAGCGACGCCGCGUGGGUGAAGAAGCGCCUCGGCGCGUAAAGCUCUGUCAGCAGGGAAGAAAAUGACGGUACCUGAAGAAGAAGCCCCGGCUAACUACGUGCCAGCAGCCGCGGUAAUACGUAGGGGGCAAGCGUUAUCCGGAUUUACUGGGUGUAAGGGGGGCGCAGACGGCGAUGCAAGCCAGGAGUGAAAGCCCGGGGCCCAACCCCGGGACUGCUCGUGGUACUGCGUGGCUGGAGUGCAGGAGGGGCAGGCGGAAUGCAUGGUGUAGCGGUGAAAUGCGUAGAGAUCAGAAGGAACACCGGUGGCGAAGGCGGCCUGCUGGACUGCAACUGACGUUGGGGCCCGAAAGCGUGGGGAGCAAACAGGAUUAGAUACCCUUGUAGUC